GACAGCGCCCGUCCUUCCUCAGAGCUGGGCCUUAGCUCACGUGCUCUGCUGCUCCCGGGGACCUGAGAGGGAAGACCCAGGCGGGGGCCGUGCCCAAGUGGAGGCCUCGCCGGGCAGGCUCCUGGAGGAGCCCUGGUAUCCCUUGAACAUGCAUACCUUUCCCAGAGAGAGGGACAUGGACCGCGCUGUGCGAGGGACCCCGUCUUCUGCAACAGGAGGGAACAGAGAGGAGAGCUCAGGAAUGAGCUGCCUGCUAGGAACACACAUUCAUUCUGCUGUGCUUCACCUGCUCCAAGAUUGAAAGGAACCUGCCUCCAGCAGAGGGCACUGGAGAGGGCCGGGGGUGAUAUUAGACUGACUUCUCAACAAGCCUUAGAACUUAAUCAAAGGAGGGAGGUGAUGUUCACUGGGCCUCCUUACUACCCCACCAGGCACCAAUGGCCAAUCAUCUAAAGAAUAAGUCUGCCACUCUCCUUGGAGCAUUAAAUGGAGGUGA